AUUGAACGCUGGCGGCAUGCCUUACACAUGCAAGUCGAACGGUAACAGGUCUUCGGAUGCUGACGAGUGGCGAACGGGUGAGUAAUACAUCGGAACGUGCCUAGUAGUGGGGGAUAACUACUCGAAAGAGUGGCUAAUACCGCAUGAGAUCUACGGAUGAAAGCAGGGGAUCGCAAGACCUUGUGCUUCUAGAGCGGCCGAUGGCAGAUUAGGUAGUUGGUGGGAUAAAAGCUUACCAAGCCGACGAUCUGUAGCUGGUCUGAGAGGACGAUCAGCCACACUGGGACUGAGACACGGCCCAGACUCCUACGGGAGGCAGCAGUGGGGAAUUUUGGACAAUGGGCGAAAGCCUGAUCCAGCAAUGCCGCGUGCAGGAUGAAGGCCUUCGGGUUGUAAACUGCUUUUGUACGGAACGAAAAGCCCCGGGUUAAUACCCUGGGGUCAUGAGGGUACCGUAAGAAUAAGCACCGGCUAACUACGUGCCAGCCGCCGCGGUAA
rnacentral:rRNA from 1 species